CUAUUCCAGACUGAGCUCUGAUGCCAACUGAAUGAAUUAAUUAUGAUGUGAGUGCCCUGUUCAAAUCUCAAACAUGAUGAUUCAGUUAUUUAUACUUUGAUUUUUCCAGCUCAUUUUUGCUUUCAAACAUUGAAAAGGGACACCUAUGAGGAUCAAUACGUAUAGUAAAGAUGCGUCAAAAUACUGAAAACACGUGAAAUUUUUAUUUUUACAGUUGUAACACAAAGACGGUAUUUGUUACUGGACCUGUAAUUCAUCCCUAUGAAAAGAUCUGCUCUGGUGUCCGACUGUUGAACCUCCAAGCCAAAGGAGAUUCAAAUCUUUCCGACUCUGAAUGCAUGAAGAUCAGUAAGACAUCAACACUUUGACAAAUGUCUAUUCCAUGGAAGUCUUCAAAUGGAGCUUCAGUUUCAGGACAUUUUUUUUGAUCUGGAAGUAUAAGACACGCUGCCUGAUUCCAUGCACGAAAUGCCAUGAUAGCGAAAGAAGGGUAGGGAGUCAUGAAUAAACACCCAAUUAUAUCACUUCAUUCAUACAAGCCAAGAUGCAGUACCGAAAAUUCUGGUGAAUUUCUUCAUCUAGCCGAGUUCUACAAGCUGACUUCAGGAGGCACUUUGACGACUCUAGCACAGAUGUGUGGGAAGCAAGCUGAACGUGCUGGAUUCACAACAGUUCUGCAUCAUCAGGGUAGCUCCAGGCAGGGGGAGCUUGCAGUGUGCUGCUGCAUAAAGCACUCAGCCCCAGUUCCCCUCCUUUGCUUCGUGUUUUCUGGUGUGAGUUCACACACAUCCCCAGCUCUUCCCUCUGAUUAA
rnacentral:lncRNA from 1 species